rnacentral:rRNA from 1 species
AAUUCUUCAACUUGAGAGUUUGAUCCUGGCUCAGAACGAACGCUGGCGGCAGGCUUAACACAUGCAAGUCGAACGCAUCCUUCGGGGUGAGUGGCAGACGGGUGAGUAACGCGUGGGAACGUGCCCUUCAGUUCGGAAUAACCCAGGGAAACUUGGGCUAAUACCGGAUACGUGCGAGAGCAGAAAGAUUUAUCGCUGAAGGAUCGGCCCGCGUCUGAUUAGCUAGUUGGUGAGGUAAUGGCUCACCAAGGCGACGAUCAGUAGCUGGUCUGAGAGGAUGAUCAGCCACAUUGGGACUGAGACACGGCCCAAACUCCUACGGGAGGCAGCAGUGGGGAAUAUUGGACAAUGGGCGCAAGCCUGAUCCAGCCAUGCCGCGUGAGUGAUGAAGGCCUUAGGGUUGUAAAGCUCUUUCGGCGGGGACGAUAAUGACGGUACCCGCAGAAGAAGCCCCGGCUAACUUCGUGCCAGCAGCCGCGGUAAUACGAAGGGGGCUAGCGUUGUUCGGAAUCACUGGGCGUAAAGGGCGCGUAGGCGGCUUUAUAAGUCGGGGGUGAAAGCCUGUGGCUCAACCACAGAAUUGCCUUCGAUACUGUAUGGCUUGAGACCGGAAGAGGUUAGUGGAACUGCGAGUGUAGAGGUGAAAUUCGUAGAUAUUCGCAAGAACACCAGUGGCGAAGGCGGCUGACUGGUCCGGUUCUGACGCUGAGGCGCGAAAGCGUGGGGAGCAAACAGGAUUAGAUACCCUGGUAGUCCACGCCGUAAACGAUGAAUGCCAGCCGUUGGGCAGCUUGCUGCUCAGUGGCGCAGCUAACGCUUUAAGCAUUCCGCCUGGGGAGUACGGUCGCAAGAUU